UUCUGCUGUACACCGUUUCAAAUCUGGACAAGCUUCUGUAUUGAUUGCAACUGAUGUUGCCAGUUAGAUUAUGUUCAUCAUGUAGGGCAUUCUGCUAGAGCAGGCAGAGGACGAAUGGUUGUGAGUUUUGUUACUGAGUUUUAUCAUUGGCAUGGUUCUUUCCAGUUACAAGCUACAUGCACGUAAUUGAAGCCGAUUAACAAUACGAGAUAGAAGCUGUUCUUGGGAAACAACUAGAGGAAUUUGAGUCAUUGAGUGUAAAGGCGUCCUUAAGGAACCCUUGCUGCAUAUGUAUAGGUUAAUUCUAGGGAGUCCAAGGGUAGUGAUGAUGAGGUGGAUGUAGCUUUUCAUUAUUAGGCAUAACCAAUGAAUAAAGAUCUUAUCAUAAAUUAUAAUUAGCAGAUAUGCCAAACGUUUUGCAAAAGAACGUUGUGAUCUUAUCAUAACCAAUGAAGAUGAUGGACGAUGGCCUUGAGGAGAAAGCAAAAGAACGGAAAAAAGCAAAAUCUGAAAACACUAGCAGAGAAGGGAUUGUUGAAGAAGAAGAAUAAGAAGAGAGAGAAAAGUUUGCAAAAUAGUGAACAAGGGAUAACAAGUGAUCCAGAAGCUCUAUGUUGUUUGAAGUCGAAUGAGGAACUUUGGUUUGUCCCUCUGCUUAAAAAGCGAUGCCAAACGUUUUGCCUUUUCGUUUUUUUUAGAAUAUUUGUUCAUGUAAUUUUGAUGUAAAUGUAGCUUAUUAAAAUAUUUUCAUGUUCAAUUACAAUAAUUAAAAGUGCCCAAAGUUUGGAUUC